AGGAUUAACGCUGGCGGCGUGCCUAACACAUGCAAGUCGAACGAGGUAGCAAUACCUAGUGGCAGACGGGUGAGUAGCGCGUGGUCAACCUACCGUUGAGUGGGGGAUAACUAGCCGAAAGGUUAGCUAAUACCGCAUACGUCUCCGAGGGGCAUCCCUUGGCGAUAAAAGGAGCAAUCCGCUCGAUGACGGGACCGCGUCCCAUUAGCUAGUUGGUGGGGUAACGGCCUACCAAGGCAUCGAUGGGUAGCUGGUUUGAGAGAGCGACCAGCCACACUGGGACUGAGAUACGGCCCAGACUCCUACGGGAGGCAGCAGUGAGGAAUUUUCCGCAAUGGGCGAAAGCCUGACGGAGCGACGCCGCGUGUGGGAAGAAGGGCCUUCGGGUCGUAAACCACUGUCGAAGGGGAAGAUAAUGACGGUACCCUUGGAGGAAGCCCCGGCUAACUACGCGCCAGCAGCCGC
rnacentral:rRNA from 1 species